UCCGCGGACCGUGACUGGCGCUUGAGGUGGGGCACCACCGGGGAGCGGUCCGGCCGGCGGGAGCCGGUCCGAGCCGCGCGCCUGGGUGCUCAGC
rnacentral:ncRNA from 2 species